AGGCACAAGGUGCCAGUUAAGCCUUCACUGCUCCUCCCCUCACAUCAAAAUAUCACUGUCAAGAUUGCCACCCCCCCACAAAGACAUCCCCCAGAAUCCCCCAUGCCCACAUUACAAACUUCUUAUCCUGACGUUACUUUUCCUAUCCGCAUCUCCGUUUGGGGACAACAGCAGGCAUUUUUUGCUGCUACGUUAGAUCUCUCUGUGCUGUUAAACACGCUGCAGAGGCAAAACUACAAAGGUCAGUCCUGAGCCCAGAAACCCAGAGCUCCAAGGGCAGGCACCGAAUGCAGCCUCCAUCAGCACGGGUCCAAAGAGCGGAUGCCAGCGGCUGAAACUUGAAAGUGGAAGAGGGCAGAAACUGAAAAAAAAGAAGCUGAAAGAACAACGCAAUUGCAAUUUAUCUGACUGCUGGAGUAAAUCCUUUAUCUGCACUUGUCGUUUGAAGACGUGAAGUUAGAAAGAGCCCCACGUCCUGGAAACAUUUCUCAAGUACGACCUAGCUGCAUCUCUGUGGAAUAACUGGAGUUAAAGAAACGUAAUUCUAGUGCCCUCCCAUGUCCCAAAUAAGAACUACAGCAGCUAAAGAAUGUACUCACCUUCACUGGGUGAAGGGAAAAGGCAAGUUUUUCUUGAGGCACUAAGCACUCUCCCAGUCACCAGCCUGGAUCCUAUCUAGCUAGGUGCUGUGCAUAAACCAGAAAAAGCUGGUACGGGAAUCGAGCAGAUUACAAUCAAAAUUAACAGAAAGGACAUGGAAACAGAGUGGAGAAAAAAUAAUAAAACUAUAUUGUUCCACAAAAUAUGGCUUUCAAAUAUCAACAAAAAAAAUCUCCUACCACAACUAAAGCCAUCUGUUCAGUAGUGUGAUCAUUCAAGCCUUCCAGCUGAUGAAUGAUCAGGUCUAGUUCAGAAAUUGACCCUUAUUUUCUGAUCACUAGCACGAAUCGUAAAUAAAACCCAGCAGAGUAAGCAAUAUAAUCAGCUAAAUAUGCAAAUAUAUUCGUACACCACAAAUAGGAGAAAACACCGUUUAUACCCAGCUGCCUGUACAUGUUUUAUCGUGGAAUAACAAUUCACCUUAUCUGAAGAUCUCGCAGCCCAGAUGCAUAGUUAUAUAGCUGAAUAUUUCACUGCACGUUUUGUUAUCCAAGUAAGGCAAAAGCUUGUAUGAUAAUGGCAGUUUGGUUAUUUUUUAUUUUUAAAAACAAACAAACAAACAAACAAAACUAUUGAAGGGACACCAAUUUCACAGGCACUUUUUUCUGCAUUAUUCUCUACUGGCACAGCUGUGAGAAAGAGCAAACAUUCAUUACCUGAGCUGUGGUUUACAGCUAUAUUACCAUCUUCUGAUCGCCACGUGGAGCCAAGGUGCAACAAACUUGUCCAGAAGCACUUUCUGCUACUUGGGAGUACAGAGCAAGCACAGGACGGUGUAAUCAACAGCUGUCCAUGAAUUAUAUCAAGAUCCCUCUCUUCUGCAAAUACCAUUUGUUCAGUCCUCCGGCAGUGAUGGAAGGCAACAAUUUCUUCACUGGAAGAAACACAGAGCAGCUCUGGGCACAGCUCACUGACCCAAAGCCCAACAUGAAUGGCUGCGGGAUGUUGCUGUUUUAUUUAUACACAGCAUAAAUUGCCUCUUAAGCAGAGCAUUCAGUAUUUCUCUGAUCAGAGAGCAGCAAGCUCCCUGGGAGGCUAACGGCAUAUGAUAGCAAAUAGUUAUCCUGCAUGGUAUUCUGGGCUGGUAAAUAAGCAGAACUGUGGGUAAACAGUGCUGCUGAGAGGACCAAUAAUGGAGGAGAUGCUAUGUAAAAGUUGUUGCUUUUGCAUUAAAAAAAAAUAAUCCCCAAAGCAAUUAUGUGAUUAUGGAGCUGAGCUUUCCUUUCCAAAACUGAUGCACGUCUUGGGGACAGAUUUGUAAAGGUAUUUAGAUGUUUAAUGAUGCUGUUAACGAUGCUAGUAGGAAUCUGAGAGUUACCUCAAUGCUAAUUCCUGGUGAAAUUAAUGUAGGAACAGCAAGUUCUGCUAAAAACCAUCCAGGCUUAGGUUUGUUAGUCCAUGUCCCAAUUAAUAAAGACAUGACACUGCAUGUCCUGAGCACCAUGCCGUGCAGCCUUAUUAGCUCAAAUCCAGAAGCUGCAGCGCUGCUGUCUUCGUAUGAAAUUCUCAGCUGAGUUCAGCAAUGGUCAGAUCUUACAGCGUUAAUGACUCCAGGACCUGUAGUCAAAUAAGAGGCAGGUACGGGUUUCUUGAGAGGUCAAGAGGACUUGACUUCUCCUCAUCAGCAGCAAGUAGCAUGACUAGCACCCCUAGCAUGGGGCAUGGCUGCAGCCCCACAGCUCUGCAGUGCCCUUGGAUUCCCUUCAAGCCAGCCCUGCAUUUCUUCAGCCCUAAUGAGGCAGAGCUGUUCGUUUCAGUAGUUAUGCCACUGAUAAGCUGGGGUAACAUGGUGCUGAGUAGCAGAACAGUUUGGUAGACAGGCUUAUCACUUUUUCUCAAGAGGAAUUCUAGAUGAAAUGUAAUCAUCUCUGUGUCAUGAUUUUGUGCAAAAAAUUCCAAGGCCAUCCGAGUACCGAAACCUGACUCCUUUGCAAUCAAACAGGAACGGGGACUAUAACAACCCUUAGGCAGCUUUGAAAAAUUCUGCCUUGAUGUAUCCCUAAGUCAGAUGAACAGGUUCUGAGUAAUCAGUUAGUUGGCGUUUCUGUUUUAAUAGCUUCGUAUUUUCAUGUCUGAGUUUAUUAAAAUUUCAAACCUUAA